rnacentral:rRNA from 1 species
CACCAGUGGCGAAGGCGGCUCACUGGCCCGAUACUGACGCUGAGGCACGAAAGCGUGGGGAGCAAACAGGAUUAGAUACCUGGUAGUCACGCCGUAAACGAUGAAUGCCAGCCGUGGUGAGUUUACUCAGCAGUGGCGCAGUUAACGCUUUAAGCAUUCCGCCUGGGGAGUACGGUCGCAAGAUUAAAACUCGAAGGAAUUGACGGGGGCCCGCACAAGCGGUGGAGCAUGUGGUUUAAUUCGACGCAACGCGCAGAACCUUACCAGCCCUUGACAUGUCCAUGACCGGUCGCAGAGAUGUGACCUUCUCUUCGGAGCAUGGAGCACAGGUGCUGCAUGGCUGUCGUCAGCUCGUGUCGUGAGAUGUUGGGUUAAGUCCCGCAACGAGCGCAACCCUCGCCCUUAGUUGCCAUCAUUUAGUUGAGCACUCUAAGGGGACUGCCGGUGAUAAGCCGAGAGGAAGGUGGGGAUGACGUCAAGUCCUCAUGGCCCUUACGGGCUGGGCUACACACGUGCUACAAUGGCGGUGACAAUGGGACGCAAAGGAGCAAUCCCUAGCAAAUCUCAAAAAGCCGUCUCAGUUCGGAUUGUUCUCUGCAACUCGAGAGCAUGAAGUUGGAAUCGCUAGUAAUCGUGUAUCAGCAUGCCACGGUGAAUACGUUCCCGGGCCUUGUACACACCGCCCGUCACACCAUGGGAGUUGGUUCUACCUGAAGGCGGUGCGCUAACCAGCAAUGGAGGCAGCCGACCACGGUAGGGUCAGCGACUGGGGUGAAGUCGUAACAAGGUAGCCGUAA